AUGGGGUCUCUGUUCCGGAGCGAGCCCAUGUGCCUGGCGCAGCUCUUCCUGCAGUCGGGCACGGCCUACGAGUGCCUGAGCGCCCUGGGCGAGAAGGGCCUGGUCCAGUUCCGAGACCUCAACCAGAAUGUAAGUUCUUUCCAAAGAAAAUUCGUUGGCGAGGUGAAGCGGUGUGAGGAGCUGGAGCGGAUCCUGGCGUACCUGGUGCAGGAGAUUCACAGAGCUGACAUCCCGCUCCCCGAGGGCGAGACCAGCCCCCCUGCCCCGCCUCUGAAGCAGGUCCUGGAAAUGCAGGAGCAGCUGCAGAAGCUGGAGGUGGAGCUGAGGGAAGUCACGAGGAACAAGGAGAAGCUGAGGAAGAACUUGCUGGAGCUGAUCGAGUACACGCACAUGCUGCGGGUGACCAAGACCUUCGUGCGGCGGAACGUGGAGUUUGAGCCCACGUAUGAAGAAUUCCCCGCCUUGGACAGCGACUCCUUGCUGGACUACAGCUCUAUGCAGAGGCUGGGAGCGAAACUGGGCUUCGUGUCCGGCCUCAUCCACCAGGGGAAGGUGGAGGCGUUUGAGAGGAUGCUGUGGAGGGUCUGCAAAGGGUACACCAUCGUGACCUACGCAGAGCUGGACGAGUCCCUCGAGGACCCGGAAACGGGAGAAGUCAUCAAGUGGCACGUGUUCCUCAUCUCCUUCUGGGGCGAGCAGAUCGGCCACAAGGUGAAGAAGAUCUGUGACUGUUACCACUGCCACAUCUACCCGUACCCCAGCACCGCCGAGGAGCGCCGUGAGAUCCAGGAGGGGCUGAGCACCCGCAUCCAGGACCUGUACACGGUGCUGCACAAAACCGAGGACUACCUCAGGCAGGUGCUGUGCAAGGCGGCCGAGUCGGUGUACAGCCGCGCCGUCCAGGUGAAGAAGAUGAAAGCCAUCUACCACAUGCUCAACAUGUGCAGCCUCGACGUGACCAACAAGUGCCUCAUCGCCGAGGUCUGGUGCCCCGAGGCCGACCUGCAGGGCCUGCGCCGUGCGCUGGAGGACGGCUCGAGAGAGAGCGGUGCUACCAUCACCUCGUUUAUGAACACGAUCCCGACGACAGAAACGCCCCCCACCCUGAUCCGCACCAACAAGUUCACCGAGGGCUUUCAGAACAUCGUGGACGCCUACGGCGUGGGCAGCUACCGGGAGGUGAACCCAGCUCUCUUCAGCAUCAUCACUUUCCCCUUCCUGUUCGCCGUGAUGUUCGGGGACUUCGGACACGGCUUCGUGAUGUUCUUGUUUGCCCUCCUGAUGGUGUUAAAUGAAAACCACCCCAGGCUGAGUCAGUCUCAGGAGAUCAUGGGCAUGUUCUUCAACGGCCGGUACAUCCUCCUGCUGAUGGGGCUGUUCUCGGUGUACACGGGCCUCAUCUACAACGACUGCUUCUCCAAGUCCGUCAACCUCUUUGGCUCCGGCUGGAACGUGUCUGCCAUGUACAGCGCCAGCCACGCCCCGGCGGAGCGCGGGAAAAUGGCCCUUUGGAAUGACAGCGUGGUCCGGCGCAGCCGCGUCCUGCAGCUGGACCCGAGCGUGCCCGGGGUGUUCCAGGGCCCGUACCCGCUGGGCAUCGAUCCUAUUUGGAAUUUGGCCACAAAUCGCCUCACUUUCCUGAACUCUUUCAAAAUGAAAAUGUCUGUGAUUUUAGGAAUUAUCCACAUGACUUUUGGAGUCGUUCUGGGAAUAUUUAACCACUUGCAUUUCAGGAAGAAGUUCAACAUCUACCUGGUGUCGGUCCCCGAGCUGCUGUUCCUGCUCUGCAUGUUUGGGUACCUCAUCUUCAUGAUCAUCUACAAGUGGCUGGUCUACUCGGCGGAGACCUCCAGGGUGGCCCCCAGCAUUCUCAUCGAGUUCAUCAACAUGUUCCUGUUCCCGACCACGGCCACCAGCGGCCUGUACGCGGGCCAGGAGCACGUGCAGCGGCUGCUGCUGGCCGUCACCGCGAUGGCCGUGCCCGUGCUCUUCCUGGGGAAGCCGCUCUUCCUGCUGUGGCUGCACAACGGGCGCAGCUGCUUCGGGGUCAGCAGGAGUGGGUACACACUGGUCAGGAAGGACAGCGAGGAGGAGGUGUCUCUGAUGGGCAGCCAGGACAUAGAGGAGGGGAGCACCCCGCUGGAGGACGGCUGCAGGGAGGUGACCUGUGAAGAGUUUAACUUUGGAGAAAUAUUGAUGACCCAAGUGAUCCACUCCAUCGAGUACUGCCUGGGCUGCAUCUCCAACACCGCGUCCUACCUGCGGCUCUGGGCCCUCAGCCUGGCGCACGCACAGCUGUCCGACGUCCUGUGGGCCAUGCUGAUGCGCGUGGGCCUCCGCGUGGACAAGACCUACGGGGUCCUGCUGCUGCUCCCGGUGAUGGCGCUCUUCGCCGUGCUGACCAUCUUCAUCCUGCUGGUCAUGGAGGGGCUGUCUGCGUUCCUCCACGCCAUUCGCCUCCAUUGGGUGGAAUUUCAGAACAAAUUCUAUGUUGGUGCAGGCACCAAAUUUGUUCCGUUCUCAUUCAGACGACUUUCAUGGAAGUUCAGCGACGACAGGGCGUGACUGCAGUGCUGCAGCCGUCGGGCUUUCCCGUUGACGGAGGAAUAUCAUGUUGUAGAAAUUCACUUGUGUCCGAUUUACGAUCAGAAAAAUUCUGUCUUCAUUGAUUGCCUUAGGAUCUAGCCAAAUAAUUCUGUCGACGCUCAACCCCUGAGCCACACCGGCCGGGCUCACAUCAGACCUUUUCAUUGUGUGACGAUUCCACGCUGCUCUCCAUGGUGUCACCCAGAGCCGGUUGAAAUUGCAGCGUUUGUCCCUCAUGUUCAAUGUCGGCCGUUAGUGACGCUGAGGAACCUGGACAACGAUUCUGCCGCCAGCUUUCCCACUUCCCCUCACAGGUUGUCCGUUUUCAUUACUCGACUCCAGGGGCGAGUCACAAAGUGGGAGCUAACUCAUCCCGAGGAAACCCAGCAUUCGCCCGUUAGUGAACGAGAGACAGCACUUGCUGGAACCCUCCCUGCCUGCUGCUCACUGUCCCGGGGCCACUUCGGUAAUUCUAACGAACACCUAUCGGUAUGGGGCCAGGAGUGCGUCAUGUCUCCACGGAAACUUAUGUAGAAUGUAAUUCUAAAAAAGCAAAUGAAUGGUCCUAACAGAACGCUCUAGAGACAGUGUGAUGGUGUCCCUUCAGCACUAAUGGGAAUUUUAUUUCCUAACGAAGCUGUUGGUCCCAGCGUCGUGUCACCAGAGCAGUUGUUUUGCUUUGUUUUUAAGCUAUUUGGUGGGACUGUUGUGUGUACAGUGUUGAAGGCAAGACUUUAUUCUCUUGAUAGCAAAUACCAAGAGGAAAAGUGGCCAGUGGUCCGGGCGAUGUUCUAAAUAUGAUUCUUUUUCUAAAGAUCCGUGUCAUGAUGGCCAGGUUUUCCAGGUUUCGUUCUGUGUGUUCACGGAGUCCUAAAACAUAAAACCAAGGAUUUCUUCCGUCAUCUAGAAUCUGAGUUCAUCCCUGAAGGUGGAGAGCAUCCUUGUGGUGACGUAAUCAUGGUCCGCUCGGAAGCCCUACGUUGUUCUGACGGGGUCACGGGGAGCCCCGGACUUUCCGUUCAUCGUGGACGUGACUUUGCAAAGACUCGCCUCGCCGAAUGCCCCGCUUCCUCCUUUCCGCACGGGUAUUUUGUAACAGCCUCCGGCUCUCCGUUUCUACCUGCAGCAGUUUGGGGAGGCCUAGCACGUCUGGAGCACAGGCAGCUCUUAUGGACGUUUUAGGUCCGUGUGGUUUGGAAAACAAAAACGAAAAGUAACUUCCACCGCUGCUCUGCAGUCUGCAUUUCUCGACUGAAAUGUUGAAGCCAGGUUUGCUGGCACGCCACCUGGUCUCUCCAGCAAGAUGACUGAGGCAUCGCAAUUCCAGGCCAGGACACAGGGCGGUCCCAGGGACGGUCCGGCAGCUGGCACCGAGCUGAGCUUUGGGUGAGGAUUGUAAGGAGCCCUUAGAACUCGCCACUCACUUCCUAGUGGGAAACCCGACCAGGGCGAGGUGCCGAGGUCGGCCUGGAAGUGAGGGGCUCCAGGCUGAGCAGACACUGGUGGACAAGCCCUGGCGCCCGGAUGCACUAGGACACGUGCAUCUUCCUCUCAGUAUUGAACUUUUUACUAAUGAAAAUAAAUCUAUAUUUUUAAACCGUGA